UGGGGAAUAUUGCACAAUGGGCGCAAGCCUGAUGCAGCCAUGCCGCGUGUAUGAAGAAGGCCUUCGGGUUGUAAAGUACUUUCAGCGGGGAGGAAGGGAGUAAAGUAAUACCUUUGCUCAUUGACGUUACCCGCAGAAGAAGCACCGGCUAACUCCGUGCCAGCAGCCGCGGUAAUACGGAGGGUGCAAGCGUUAAUCGGAAUUACUGGGCGUAAAGCGCACGCAGGCGGUUUGUUAAGUCAGAUGUGAAAUCCCCGGGCUCAACCUGGGAACUGCAUCUGAUACUGGCAAGCUUGAGUCUCGUAGAGGGGGGUAGAAUUCCAGGUGUAGCGGUGAAAUGCGUAGAGAUCUGGAGGAAUACCGGUGGCGAAGGCGGCCCCCUGGACGAAGACUGACGCUCAGGUGCGAAAGCGUGGGGAGCAAACAGG
rnacentral:rRNA from 1 species